GAGGCUCGAACCUGUGCGUUAGCCGUCUCAUAAAUUGACCCAACAUCAAUGGCAUGGGAGCCGAUCUCUCCCUGUCCCCUGCGGGAUGGGAGGUAAGCACCCACCUGUAUUUUAGGGAUCAAUGCCAGAGGCGGUGCCGGCAGGUUGGGGCCUCU
rnacentral:other from 1 species